ensembl:miRNA Mir5110 microRNA 5110
AGUGGAGGAGGUAAAGGGUGGUGGAAUUUGAUGUCAUCUCUGCCACUACUCGACAGGGGUACGUUUUUCUAGCCGCUUGCCCUGAGU